UACAGAGGGUGCAAGCGUUAAUCGGAAUUACUGGGCGUAAAGCGUGCGCAGGCGGUUGCGUAAGUCAGAUGUGAAAGCCCCGGGCUCAACCUGGGAAUUGCAUUUGAGACUGCGUAGCUAGGGUGCGGAAGAGGGAAGCGGAAUUUCCGGUGUAGCGGUGAAAUGCGUAGAUAUCGGAAGGAACACCAGUGGCAAAAGCGGCUUCCUGGUCCAGCACCGACGUUCAGGCACGAAAGCGUGGGGAGCAAACAGG
rnacentral:rRNA from 1 species